rnacentral:rRNA from 1 species
AGAGUUUGAUCAUGGCUCAGGAUGAACGCUGGCGGCGUGCUUAACACAUGCAAGUCGAACGAACCUUCGGGUUAGUGGCGGACGGGUGAGUAACGCGUGAGAAUCUGCCCUCAGGAGGGGGAUAACGGUUGGAAACGACCGCUAAUACCCCAUAUGCCUACUGGUGAAAUGAAUUUCGCCUGAGGAUGAGCUCGCGUCUGAUUAGCUAGUUGGUGAGGUAAUGGCUCACCAAGGCUUCGAUCAGUAGCUGGUCUGAGAGGAUGAUCAGCCACACUGGGACUGAGACACGGCCCAGACUCCUACGGGAGGCAGCAGUGGGGAAUUUUCCGCAAUGGGCGAAAGCCUGACGGAGCAACGCCGCGUGAGGGAAGAAGGCCUCUGGGCUGUAAACCUCUUUUCUCAAGGAAGAAGAUAUGACGGUACUUGAGGAAUAAGCCACGGCUAAUUCCGUGCCAGCAGCCGCGGUAAUACGGGAGUGGCAAGCGUUAUCCGGAAUUAUUGGGCGUAAAGCGUCCGCAGGCGGCUUUUCAAGUCUGCUGUUAAAGCGUGGAGCUUAACUCCAUCAUGGCAGUGGAAACUGAAAGGCUUGAGUAUGGUAGGGGCAGAGGGAAUUCCCGGUGUAGCGGUGAAAUGCGUAGAUAUCGGGAAGAACACCAGUGGCGAAGGCGCUCUGCUGGGCCAUUACUGACGCUCAUGGACGAAAGCCAGGGGAGCGAAAGGGAUUAGAUACCCCUGUAGUCCUGGCCGUAAACGAUGAACACUAGGUGUCGGGGGAAUCGACCCCUUCGGUGUCGUAGCUAACGCGUUAAGUGUUCCGCCUGGGGAGUACGCACGCAAGUGUGAAACUCAAAGGAAUUGACAGGGGCCCGCACAAGCGGUGGAGUAUGUGGUUUAAUUCGAUGCAACGCGAAGAACCUUACCAGGGUUUGACAUCCUGCGAACCUCUUAGAAAUUUGAGGGUGCCUUCGGGAAUGCAGUGACAGGUGGUGCAUGGCUGUCGUCAGCUCGUGUCGUGAGAUGUUGGGUUAAGUCCCGCAACGAGCGCAACCCACGUUUUUAGUUGCCAGCAUUUAGUUGGGCACUCUAGAAAGACCGCCGGUGAUAAACCGGAGGAAGGUGUGGAUGACGUCAAGUCAUCAUGCCCCUUACACCCUGGGCUACACACGUACUACAAUGCUACGGACAAAGGGCAGCAAACUCGCGAGAGCUAGCAAAUCCCAUAAACCGUGGCUCAGUUCAGAUCGUAGGCUGCAACUCGCCUACGUGAAGUAGGAAUCGCUAGUAAUCGCAGGUCAGCAUACUGCGGUGAAUACGUUCCCGGGCCUUGUACACACCGCCCGUCACACCAUGGAAGUUGGCCAUGCCCGAAGUCGUUACUCCAACCCUUGUGGAGGAGGAUGCCGAAGGUGGGGCUAAUGACUGGGGUGAAGUCAUAACAAGGUAGCCGUA